GGUGGUCUGUGAGUCUGUGAGAUGAGAUCUCUGUAAUUCACGGUUGUAGAUCCCAACUGGCAGAAUCUGGUCACCAACCUCUUCAAGCACUUGUUUCAUAGAUGCUUGUUGUGGACAGACAAUGGCAAUGUGAGUAAGCGUUUUCAACAAAGAUGGGUCAGUGUGAAGCUGAAAGCCUGAUCCAGACCCAACAACAUAAUCCGUAAAGACGCAAGCCAACUUUAUUGUAACGAAAAAUUCUGAGACUUCUUUCAAUCUACUGAGACGUACUUGCAGUGAACAAAUAACUGUUCUUUUAGCAGAGGUUUCAGCAAUGGCAGUUGCGGGUCAUCUUCUUCCUUUGGUU